UUAAGUCUCACAAUCAGGCAUUUUCUCCAGCCCCCUGAAUCACUUUUAUGGCUCAUUUCUGAAUCCUCUCCAGUUUUUCAAUGUCGUUUUUAAAAUCUGGACACCAGAACUGGGUGUGGUAUUCCAGUAUCAGACUCACCAGUGCCUUAUACAGGGGUAAAAUCACCUCCCUGCUUCUAGUAGCUACUCCCCUGUUUAUGCAUGCAGGGAUUUUAUCUGUCUUUCAGGUGAAGUUGGGAAGCCAGGGAGUCCAUGUUGCAACGUGAGGAAGUUGGGGGCAAGAACUCUGAAGACAAGAUUGGCUGGUUUUGCUUCUCCCUCCUCACCCUGGAUCCCUUAAAGGAAUCACAGAUGUGCACACUCGCUCCUCUGACACCAGCUCAGACCUUUAUUUCUUGCUUCGAAUGUUGGCAUCCUCUAUCAUCCUGUUUUCUCUUCACCCCAAAUAAACAAAUGUAGAUCCUUUCCCAUUGACCUGGGAGCCACCACUGCAGUCCUGCUACAUCUUGCAGCUGUUGUGCUGAACAGCUGGGAGACAGUGAGAGAGAUGGAGCUGAGAGGCAAUGCUAUGUGAACCAAAUUCAGCAACGGUUUUGAGUUUAGGUAACUAGGGGAGUUCUGUUGAAGUCAGGACAAAUUUUCAGUGUCACGAGCAGAGAUGCCAAGCUGGACCCUCAAAACCAGGGCCAUCCCAGAAAACAUGAGCCAUUUGGUCAUCAAGAAUUCGAACUAGCUUUUGGGGUUCAGCUGAACAUAAG
rnacentral:lncRNA from 1 species